CCUACGGGAGGCAGCAGUGAGGAAUAUUGGUCAAUGGACGAGAGUCUGAACCAGCCAAGUAGCGUGAAGGAUGACUGCCCUAUGGGUUGUAAACUUCUUUUAUAUGGGAAUAAAAUGUUCCACGUGUGGGAUUUUGUAUGUACCAUAUGAAUAAGGAUCGGCUAACUCCGUGCCAGCAGCCGCGGUAAUACGGAGGAUCCGAGCGUUAUCCGGUUUUAUUGGGUUUAAAGGGAGCGUAGGUGGAUUGUUAAGUCAGUUGUGAAAGUUUGCGGGUCAACCGUAAAAUUGCAGUUGAAACUGGAGUCUUGAGUACAGUAGAGGUGUGCGGAAUUCGUGGUGUAGCGGUGAAAUGCUUAGAUAUCACGAAGAACUCCGAUUGCGAAGGCAGUUCACUGGACUGCAACUGACACUGAGGCUCGAAAGUGUGGGUAUCAAACAGGAUUAGAUACCCUUGUAGUC
rnacentral:rRNA from 1 species